rnacentral:rRNA from 1 species
GACGAACGCUGGCGGCGUGCUUAACACAUGCAAGUCGAACGAUGAACCACUUCGGUGGGGAUUAGUGGCGAACGGGUGAGUAACGCGUGGGCAAUCUGCCCUUCACUCUGGGACAAGCCCUGGAAACGGGGUCUAAUACCGGAUAACACUGUCACGGGCAUCUGUGGUGGUUAAAAAGCUCCGGCGGUGAAGGAUGAGCCCGCGGCCUAUCAGCUUGUUGGUGGGGUAAUGGCUCACCAAGGCGACGACGGGUAGCCGGCCUGAGAGGGCGACCGGCCACACUGGGACUGAGACACGGCCCAGACUCCUACGGGAGGCAGCAGUGGGGAAUAUUGCACAAUGGGCGAAAGCCUGAUGCAGCGACGCCGCGUGAGGGAUGACGGCCUGU